rnacentral:rRNA from 1 species
GUGAGGAAUUUUCCGCAAUGGGCGAAAGCCUGACGGAGCAAUGCCGCGUGAAGGAUGAAGGCCUAUGGGUUGUAAACUUCUUUUCUUAGAGAAGAAUAUUGACGGUAUCUGAGGAAUAAGCAUCGGCUAACUCUGUGCCAGCAGCCGCGGUAAGACAGAGGAUGCAAGCGUUGUUCGGAUUUACUGGGCGUAAAGAGUCUGUAGGCGGCGGGGUAAGUCAGAUGUGAAAUCCCGGGGCUCAACCCCGGAACUGCAUCCGAUACUGCCUUGCUAGAGUAUUGGAGGGGAGUCUGGAAUUCUCGGUGUAGCAGUGAAAUGCGUAGAUAUCGAGAGGAACACUAGUGGCGAAGGCGAGACUCUGGACAAUUACUGACGCUGAGAGACGAAGGCCAGGGGAGCGAAAAGGAUUAGAAACCCUUGUAGUCC